rnacentral:tRNA from 1 species
UGGGCUCAUAGUCCAGGUCGGUUAUGACGUCGCCCUUACACGGCGAAGAUCCGGGGUUCAAAUCCCCGUGGGCCCAUUUU